rnacentral:rRNA from 1 species
UACGUAGGGCGCAAGCGUUAUCCGGAAUUAUUGGGCGUAAAGAGCUCGUAGGCGGUUUGUCGCGUCUGCCGUGAAAGUCCGGGGCUCAACUCCGGAUCUGCGGUGGGUACGGGCAGACUAGAGUGAUGUAGGGGAGACUGGAAUUCCUGGUGUAGCGGUGAAAUGCGCAGAUAUCAGGAGGAACACCGAUGGCGAAGGCAGGUCUCUGGAACGGUACUGACGCUGAGACGCGAAAGCGUGGGGAGCGAACAGG